GACGAACGCUGGCGGCGUGCUUAACACAUGCAAGUCGAGCGGUAAGGCCCUUUCGGGGUACGACGAGCGGCGAACGGGUGAGUAACACGUGGGUGACCUGCCCUCAGCUCUGGGAUAAGCCUGGGAAACCGGGUACUAAUACUGGAUAUGACUCCAUGACGCAUGUUGGUGGGGUGGAAAGCCUUGUGCGGCUGAGGAUGGGCCC
rnacentral:rRNA from 1 species